rnacentral:rRNA from 1 species
GAUGAACGCUAGCGGCAGGCCUAAUACAUGCAAGUCGAACGGUGUCCUCGGACAUAGUGGCGCACGGGUGCGUAACACGUAUGCAACCUACCUUACAUUGGGGGAUAGCCUUUCGAAAGGGAGAUUAAUACCGCAUAAGACAGUAGCUGGGCAUCCAGCAGCUGUUAAAGAUUUAUCGAUGUAAGCUGGGCAUGCGUCCAAUUAGCUAGUUGGCGAGGUAACGGCUCACCAAGGCAAUGAUUGGUAGGGGAACUGAGAGGUCAAUCCCCCACACUGGCACUGAGAUACGGGCCAGACUCCUACGGGAGGCAGCAGUAGGGAAUAUUGGGCAAUGGACGCAAGUCUGACCCAGCCAUGCCGCGUGCAGGAUGAAGGCGUUAUGCGUUGUAAACUGCUUUUAUACAGGAAGAAACGACUCAUGCGAGAGGCAUUGACGGUACUGUAUGAAUAAGCACCGGCUAACUCCGUGCCAGCCGCCGCGGUAAUAC